rnacentral:rRNA from 1 species
AUUGAACGCUGGCGGCAUGCCUUACACAUGCAAGUCGAACGGUAACGCGGGGCAACCUGGCGACGAGUGGCGAACGGGUGAGUAAUGCAUCGGAACGUGCCCAGUUGUGGGGGAUAACUGCUCGAAAGAGCAGCUAAUACCGCAUACGACCUGAGGGUGAAAGCGGGGGAUCGCAAGACCUCGCGCAAUUGGAGCGGCCGAUGUCGGAUUAGCUAGUUGGUGGGGUAAAGGCCCACCAAGGCGACGAUCCGUAGCUGGUCUGAGAGGACGACCAGCCACACUGGGACUGAGACACGGCCCAGACUCCUACGGGAGGCAGCAGUGGGGAGUUUUGGACAAUGGACGCAAGUCUGAUCCAGCCAUGCCGCGUGCGGGAAGAAGGCCUUCGGGUUGUAAACCGCUUUUGUCAGGGAAGAAAUCUUCUGGGUUAAUACCUCGGGAGGAUGACGGUACCUGAAGAAUAAGCACCGGCUAACUACGUGCCAGCCGCCGCCGUAACAC